UCUCUUUGCAGUCAUUUCUACUAAUAUCUGUGCGGUAAAAUGAUCAUUUUUAGCGGACAUAGGCAAAUGCAAAUACAGGGUGACAGUUACCUGGGAAUGCGAGGAAGUGAACGGAAACUCUCUUUCCAAGUGGAUUGGCAAAUAUGGGCAAACACUUUGGCAGGUAUGGUACACA
ensembl:ncRNA C23F12.8 ncRNA